GGUUCGAUUAUGGCUCAGAUUGAGCUGGCGGGAUGCUUUACACAUGCAAGUCGAACGGCAGCACGGACUUCGGUCUGGCGAGUGGCGAACGGGUGAGUAAUACGACCGCCUGGUAGCGGGGGAUAACUACGCGAAAGCGUAGCUAGAUACCGUAAUAACACUUCGGGAAAGCGGGGACCCGCCUCGCACUAUUAGAUGGCCGAUAUCGGAUUAGCUAGUUGGUGGGUGCAACGGGUCACCAAGGCGACGAUCCGUAGCUGGUUUGAGAGGACGACCAGCCACACUGGACUGAGACACGGCCCAGACUCCUACGGGAGGCAGCAGUGGGGAAUUUUGGACAAUGGGGGAAACCCCUGGAUCUGGCCAUCCGCGGCAAGGAGCGAAGGCCUUCGCUAAAGCACUUUGGCAGGAAAGAAACGGCACGGGAUAAUACCCGUGCAACUGACGGUACCUGCAGAAUAAGCACCGGGUUAACUACGUGCCACAGCAGCCGCGGUAAUACGUAGGGUGCAAGCGUUAAUCGGAAUUACUGGGCGAAGCGUGCGCAGGCGGUUCGGAAAGAAAGAUGUGAAAUCCCAGAGCUUAACUUUGGAACUGCAUUUUUAACUACCGAGCUAGAUGUACGGGAGGUGGAAUUCCGCGUGUAGCAGUGAAAUGCGUAGAUAUGCGGAGGAACACCGAUGGCGGUUGCAGCCUCCUGGGAAAACAUUCGGAUGCUCGCUAAUGAAAGCGUGGGGAGCAAACAGGAUUAGAUACCCUGGUAGUCCACGCCCUAAACGAUGUCAACUAGCUGUUGGGGCCUUCGGGCCUUGGUAGCUAACGCGAAGUUGAUCGCCGGGGAGAGCUGUCGCAAGAUUAAAACUCAAAGGAAUUGACGGGGACCCGCACAAGCGGUGGAUGAUGGACAAUUCCGAUGCAACGCGAAAACCUUACCUACCCUUGACAUGUCUGAAUCCCGAAGAGAGAUUUGGAGUGCCUGCAAGAGAACCGGAAUACAGGUGUUGCAUGGCUGUCAACAGUCGUGUCGUGAGAGAUGUUGGGUUAAGUCCCGCAACGAGGCGGCAACUCUGUCAUUAGUUGCUACGAAAGGCACUCUAUCGAGACUGCCGGUGACAAACCGGAGGAAGGUGGGGAUGACGUCAAGUCCUCAUGGCCCUUGGCGGUAGGGCUUCACAGUCAUACAAUGGUCGGGAAGCAGAGGGUCGCCAACCCGCGAGGGGGAGCCAAUCCCAGAAACCCGAUCGUAGUCCGGAUCGCAGUCUGCAACUCGACUGCGUGAAGUCGGAAUCGCUAGUAAUCGCGGAUCAGCAUGUCGCGGUGAAAUACGUUCCGGGUCUUGUACACACCGCCCGUCACACCAUGGGAGUGGGUUUUACCAGAAGUAGUUAGCUCAACCGUAGCGAGGUAGCGACCACGGUAGGAUUCGCGAUCAGUGUGUCGUAUCAGUGUAA
rnacentral:rRNA from 1 species